AUUGAACGCUGGCGGCAGGCCUAACACAUGCAAGUCGAGCGGCAGCGGGAAAGUAGCUUGCUACUUUUGCCGGCGAGCGGCGGACGGGUGAGUAAUGCCUGGGAAAUUGCCCAGUCGAGGGGGAUAACAGUUGGAAACGACUGCUAAUACCGCAUACGCCCUACGGGGGAAAGCAGGGGACCUUCGGGCCUUGCGCGAUUGGAUAUGCCCAGGUGGGAUUAGCUAGUUGGUGAGGUAAUGGCUCACCAAGGCGACGAUCCCUAGCUGGGCUGGGGGGAUGAGCAUCCACACUGGGGCUGAGAAACGGUCCAGACUCCUACGGGAGGGAGCAGUGGGGAAUAUGGCAAAAUGGGGGAAACCCUGAUGCAGCCAUGCCGCGUGUGUGAAGAAGGCCUUCGGGUUGUAAAGCACUUUCAGCGAGGAGGAAAGGUUGAUGCCUAAUACGUAUCAACUGUGACGUUACUCGCAGAAGAAGCACCGGCUAACUCCGUGCCAGCCGCCGCCGUAAAAC
rnacentral:rRNA from 1 species